GUGCUGGUGGAGUGUCCUGUGAACUCAAAGCCGGCACGGCCUUCCAGUGCAGCCCUGAAAAGUGAGAUGCCUUUUUUUUUUUUUUUAGCUGCAGCACGGGGCAUGUGGGAUCUUAGUUCCCUGACUAGGGAUCAAACCCAGGCUUCCUGCGUUGGAAGCAGAGAGUCUUAACCACUGGGCGGCCAAGGAAGUCCCCAAAGUGUGGAGGGUUUGGGAAGAUGAUUCUGCCAUUUCAGGCAGAGAGGCUGAGGAGAGAGAGCUGUCAAGGCUCAGUGUGUGAGCUGUGUGGGCCUGAAGGGGCCCCAGCUUCAGGAAGAGAUAAGACAUCUGAGCAAGAUCUCAAAGGGAACAGGCAGUAGAAUUAAGCUCAGCUGGAUAUGAAGAUGAAAGCCAAGGGGAAGGAAGGAGGCCCUGGAUGGGAUGGAGUCAGAGAACAGAGGAAGGGCCUGCUGUGAAGGAAGAGGAAGCUGCUGCGGGCAGUGUAGGGACAGGCUCAGUUCCGGUGACGGUGAGAAAAUCUCAAGGAGAAGGGCUUGGAGCUCCAGAACGGGGGUGGCGUGGAGGAGAGACUCUGGGACCUCUCAAAGCCUGAGACCAUCCCGUUGGGACCAUGGGAUAAACCUUAAUCCCCUCCUCCCAAGGGGUCCUGGAAUCAGAGCGGGAAAAUCAAGAGGCUCGAUAGCGAGCAGGUACAAAGGGAAGACAGCUUCUCUGCCGGGGCAGAGGCGGAACCAGAGCCCACACUGCUGCUCUGUUCCGCUUGAGUCUUCUGGAAUGGACCUGCCUGCCCGGAAACCAGCUCACCCUUGUUCCUGGGCUUGCCUGCCCCCCCGAGGAGCACAGGGCCUGGGGCAGAAAGGAGGGAGGCUGUGGGGACUGGAGCGCCCGGGAUGGCUGGCUUCACGGAGACUGCUCUGCUCUCACUGCCUGGCGAGGGUGAGGUUGGGGCCCCUGCGGGCCAGGGAGCAGGGGGAGAGGCAGGAUGGAGGGGACUGGAAAAGGGCUUUUCAUCUGGGGAGGGGGCUGGGCGUCGAGGCCUGGAUAAGGCAGCUUCUAUGAUGGGGGCAGUGACCCUGGUGGUGGCGAGGAACCAAGGUGGGACUGAGCCAAGGCUGUGGGGGGUGCGUUUGUCUGCAUAGCACGCGCCCCUGUUUGUGUGUGUCCGUUUGUCUGCAGCACCUGUCUGUCUGUCUCUGGGCUUGCCUGAGUGUGUCUGGGGGUGUGCUGCUGCACGUGUGUGUGUCUGAGCAUGUGUAUCUCUGUGCGUGUCAUGCCCUCCUGAACGCGGGACUGUGUGUAUUUCUGUGUCUCUGGGUUUUUCUGUAAGUGUGGGUCUGCAUGUAACUCUGUGUGCCUGGUGGUCCCGUGUGUUUCUCUCUGCCUGUCUGUGUGGUGUGUGCCUAUGUGUCUGUGUGUGCACCUACGUAAGUGCACGUCUGUGUGUGUGACUGUGCCCGUCUGUGUGAAUGGGCAUCUUUCUGUGCAUUCCUGUGUGACUGUGUAUGCACGGGUGUCAUGUAUGUUUGCAUUCUUUGUAUGUGCUUGUGCACCUUUCUAUGUAUUCAUGUGACUCUGUGUUGUAUGUGUUGUAUGUUAUGUUUUAUGUGUGUUACGUGUGGUGUGUGUAAGUUGUGUAGUAUGUGGUAUGUGUGUUGUGUGGUAUGUGUGCAUGAUGUGUGUGGUGUGUGUAUGUGUACUGUAUGUGUGGGGUGUGUGUGUGGUGUGUGCAGUGUGAUGUGUGUGGGGUGUUGUGUGCAGUGUGUGUGUGUGAUGUGUGUGGUGUGCUGUGUGUGUGCAGUGUGUGUGUGUGUGAUGUGUGUGGUGUGCUGUGUGUGUGUGAUGUGUGUGGUGUGUCUGUGUGUGUGAUGUGUGUGGUGUGCUGUGUGUGUGUGCAGUGUGUCUGUGUGUGUGU
rnacentral:lncRNA from 1 species